CUUUGCCAGACUUUAGGCCUUAAUGGACUUUCCCUAACCCCCCCUUCUAUAUUCUGUCAUUUGGUCUGGUCCCUCCUCAGUGCUUUGGUUUCACAGAAGAGGCGGGCUCUGUAUCUCCUCCUCUUCCUACUUACCAAGCAGUAAGGGAAGGAAGUAGAAGUAAUGGGAGCACAGCAGCUUGGAGAUCACAGAUUAGGCCUGCAAGCAAGCAUGCCUACAAUAUAGGCUGGCCUUAGAAAUGUCUCACUGACAAGCUGAAGUCACCCAGCCCAGCUUCCCUGCCCACUUUGCAGCACACCAAUGAGCAGAUUCCAGCUGACAUCAUUUCUAUGUGCCCUUAACAGGGCCAUUAAGCUGUAUGAAAGGCGGGUACAUUGUUUUGUACACUAGCUCCACCUCCCUUCUAUGUGUCCCCAGCAAUAUAGAUAUAUAAUUCUAUUUAUUGCCUGUACCUUUUGUACAUAGCCCGUUUCUCAGUGGCCCCUUUUUCAUGUUUUCCCUAGCUACAUCUAUACAUAGUAUUUAUUGUCUGUACCUUAUGUACAUAGCUGGACCCUCAGUAGCCCCUUCUGUAAGUUCCCGAGGGUCCCCUCCUCUACAUCUAUAUAUUGUAUUUAUUAUCUGUACCUUAAGUACAUACUGUAGCUGGAUCCUCAGUGGCCCUUUCUGUAUGCCUUCCUGACACCAUCUAUAUAUUGUAUUAAUUGUCUGUAUCUUAAGUACAUAGCUGGAUCCAUAGUGACCCCUUCUGUGUGACCCCCCCUUUCUAUAUCUAUAUGUUGUAUUUAUUGUCUGUGCCUUAUAUACAUCCCACAGUGAAUCAAUAAUAAAAUAUAUAUUUUUUUA